UCUUUACAUUGUAAUCUGUAGUAUUUUAAUUUGCUAUAAACCUCUUAAUAAUACUAGACAAUAUGUGACCUUUUACACUCAUUCUAUGUGCUAUAAAAUUACUAUUUCCUCUGAUUCUAUUAAAUCCUUUCAAACCACUAGAGAACUCCCUGAUUUGUACUUAACAGAGCUUUUCAUGUAUUAAUAAGUGGAGUUACCUGGCUAUCAAUAAGUACUUGUUUAACUAAAGUGACUAAGUUAAAGACUUGUAGAAGUUAGAAAGGGCUUUCUGAAGCUGAUAAUUCAACACCCUAAUUUGUGACUCGAAGGAUCAGAUGCAGAGUAGUUCAAGACUUGAUGUUUUUGUUCAGGGUAAGGUAGUAAUUUAGUGACAGAAUCCAGGUAACUCAAAUCCUCAAACUAGAGAAAAAUUAUUAAGAUUUCUUGACAUUUAUUGUUAUUCCCUACCUUUAGCUUUUACACAGCUAAAUCUACUUGUGGAAGUUCAGCUUCAAAAACUUUUAGCCAUAGUUUCCAAGCUGUGGACUGUGGCUGAGGUUUAUCAACAACCUCGGUUUUCUAAUGUAGUGGAAUUCAAAGUAGAUUAGAUUCCUUCCCUGAGCCAGGAUUCUCUGAGUGCUCAUCUUAACCACUCCUGCCCAACCCCUCAUUCUACAAUAUUGAGCCUUAACUCCUAUUCCUGUCUCCCUGGCCAUCCUUUUUAAUAGUUUGUAUUGAAGUGUCCAUGAAUUAACAACAUUUUGUUUUAAUAGAUAUUCUCACGUCAAGGUGGCAUAAAGUAGUAUAUAUUUCUCAGGAUUGACUUUCCCACUUAAGAAUAUUUGUCUUCACCUCUGUGCAUUAAAAUUUAUUGCUGCGAUUGACAUGACUAAGGUGGCAUAACAUAGUGCUGUGAGCAUAAUCUAGAGCUGGUCUGAAUAAGUCUGAAUCACAGUUCUUCUAUUCAUAACCUUGGGCCACUUAACCUCUCUUGCUUUGUUUUAUAUAUCUUUAAAAUGAGGAUUAAAAUAUUACUAUUAGGAGGAUUAAAGGAAUUAUAAUAUUAUUCAUAAAGUACUGAGAAUCUUGCCUGAUACGUAUAGUAAGAUGCUACAUCAGUGUUAGGUCAUGGAAGGAGCCAGUAAAUUGUUUCAGUAUUUUAAUGUGUGUGUACUUGGGGUUCUGGAGAUACUCAAAGAACAACAUACAUUCCUAGUUUGACCUGAAUGAACCAGGAAUAUUUAAUUAUGUAGCGUGUAUCACAUUUAUUUUUAGAGCCACAUUUUACUGAAAUUAAACCUAGGAACAAUACAUGCAAAACAUGGCUUUUUUGUUUGUUUGUUUGUUUUUGGUGGUUGUUUGCUUUAAAAACCUUGUUUUGUUAAAAAAUAAAAAUAAAAGUUCUUGGUAUUUUGGGGAAGGCAAGUUAGAGAUAGACUUUAAAAGAAACCUAGCUACUGCCAUUUAUAGGUAGUUAUAUGGAUAGCUUACCUUUAGAAGUUAUUGAGUGUGACUUAUCUGCUUAAUAGCAAUUAAAUCCGUUUAAAAUGUUUACCCGGUGUUAAUCAUAAGUCAGGGUUGACAUAGCCAGUUUAAUCUUAUUUGAAAGAAAAAUCUCAGUAAAUUCAUGUUUACAGAUUUUUAAAAAACUGGCUACGAAUGUUUAUUAUAAAAAUCCAUAAUUUUCCAUUUGUUUGCUAUACUAGAAUACUAUGCAGUUGUAAUGAAUAAGCAUUUAUAGUUUCUGCUCCUAAAAAUUGGACUACAGUUUUGUAAGUUUACUCUCAUCUGGUAAGCUUUCCAGAGAUUCAGGGAAGCCAUAGCUUUCCAAGUAUGCAAAUCUUUCAUGUUCAAAGCACUUCCCUCAGGCACAAGAAGAGUAUUUCAGUGACAUGCUUUGCUCUUUUCCCUUAACGUAUCUAACAUGAAGGAGUUUCUCAUUAGGUACACAGCUUAUGUACUUACUGUAGGAUCCACAUUUAUACAUACAGAGAAAUUACCCAUAAUUAAGAUCAGAUAUCUAUUUAUUAAUUAAUUUGACAUUCCUGUAAUAAUUUAUUGGUAAAUAAAUAUCUCUUAACUCAUUGAAUGUGGAUGGCAUAUAUUUUUGGAAAAUGUUUCAAAAUACAUGAAAAAAAUAGCAACCUGAGAAAUUUAAGUUACUGUGUUUACAUUUUUGAAAUCACAUGUUUGAAAGGUGUUUAUGAUGGGGACAGCCUAUCUAUGUUUAAAUAGAUGUUGAAGAAAUUAUAUGAGAAGAAUUGAUAGAAAGUUUUAUUUUUAAUUGUUUGCUUUGUAAUAUAUUUCUUGGGUGAGUGUAAAAAGUAGAUUUCAGAAGAUUUAUUUAUACUAUCAAUGCAUGUUUUAAAAUGCUGUUGUUUGAGUUGUAAAUAAAUAAUGAAAAAGGCAUUUUACAUGGCAUUGAAUCAAUCUGUUUCAGUUGUUCACCCUGGAUUUCUUUCAUUUAGUCAUCUUCUUCUUACUGCAAAGGAGGACAUUUGUUCAUUACUUUGCCUAAAUAAUACUAACAUACUAGCAGAUGGUCACUUUCCAACUGGUUUGUCUUCAGAAAAGAAAUUAAAAUAUUAUAGUGCCAGAGAGAGAUAUUAUAAUGCAUCCCUGUCAAAUUAACAGGUCAUUCUUUUCAACUGUUUUAUAACUGCAAAAUGGCUCAAUGUCACAUAAAAGGCUAAAAGCUAGAGUAAAUGGUAUCAUGGGAAAUAUGAAAUAAACACAGUGUAAUGAUUUAUAGUCUUUUCUUGAACACACUAGGAAUAUUUCUUUUCUAAAAAGACACAAAUUAUAUGCUACGGUAGUAUUUUGGUUGUACUGGAUUCUAGUUUAAUUAGUUCAUAUCAAAAGAUGGCAUUUGUUUUAAAACAUGUGUAUAUAUUCUGAAAGAAGACACUUCCCCCAAAACAUUUAAAAAUACCUUGAAUAUAUUUUUAAACGAAUAUGUUAGCCUAGCAAACAAUGAAAUGAAAACCAAAUAUGAACAUAAUGUAUCUUCUUCCUGCCCUUUAAUGAAUGAUCUGUAACUCUGAUAAAAAGAUUAGUUUAGAGACUAUUGAAUUAUUUUAAUUCUAGGACCAGACUGAAAGUAGCAUUGUACAUUUAGAAAUGCAACAUAUGAGUAGAAUUGGAUCCCUAUGUGAUUGGGAAAUAAGCUGGAGAAACUGAAGUAUGCUUAAAACACAGAGUAAUUAGCAAGCAAGCUCAGGAAAAAAAAAAAAUCUAAGAAUACUUAGAAGUAGUGUUUGAAGAACUAGAAUCAUCACAGUUUAAAUUAUUUGUUUUGAACUUUCUCUGUCACUGAAUUGCUGUGUAUCUUUGGGCAGUCACUUAGAUCAUUUCCCCAACUAGAACAUUAGUAAGUUGGCUUAGACAGCUCUUAAGUCCUUUUUUUGAAGUGUUAUAGCUAUUUGGUUGGUGAUCAAUUAAAAAAAAGUAUUUGCCUAAGUGAGCCAAGUAGAUUUAUAAUGAGAAAGAAGGAAGUUAUUAUAAUGAGUAUUCUUUAUAAUAUUAUUUAUUCUUCUGAAAAAAUCAAGUGAUAAUAGAAACCAAAAUAUAAAAUAUCAGAAUUCGAUUUGCAUUCCUUCUAAUUACUAGCACUGUGAACAAAAACAGGUCGUUUAGGUCAUCGUUGUGAGCCCGCUAUCAGCGGCCAGCGCGGGCGCGGCCGGAGACCGUGGGGCCUGCAGUGGCCGCCCCCUCAGGAGCCACCAUGUUGGUGGCUUCCGGACUGAGCGAGGAAGAGGAGGCUCUGCAGAAGAAAUUCAACAAACUCAAGAAAAAGAAAAAGGCACUGCUGACUCUGAAGAAGCAAAGUAGCAGCAGCACAACCAGCCAAGGCGGUGUCAAACGCUCACUAUCAGAGCAGCCUGUCGUGGACACAGCCACAGCAACAGAGCAGGCAAAGCAGCUGGUGAAGUCGGGAGCCAUCAGUGCCAUCAAGGCUGAGACCAAGAACUCAGGCUUCAAGCGUUCUCAAACCCUUGAGGGGAAGUUAAAGGACCCCGAGAAGGGACCAGUUCCCACUUUCCAGCCGUUCCAGAGGAGCGUAUCUGCUGAACCUGCGAGAGUCAUCCAGACGUCCCUAGAGGAAAUCUCUGUAUGAAAGCUUUGUGUCUUCUAGUGAUCGACUUUGAGAACUAGGGCCAGAUGGAGAAGAGGCAGAGGGCCCAGGGGCUGGCGAUGGUCCCCUUGAAGCUUUGACUGGGGCUCUGAAGAACGCAGUGGUGGCCACUCCUCAGCCUCCCCUCCCCGAAGCCGCAACCAUGAGAGGAACCGGGACAGAGACCGAGAUCGGGAGCAGGAUCGAGACCGGGAUCGAGAUAGAGACCGAGGGCAGGACAGGGAUCGGGAUCGAGAUUGAGACCGGCAAUGGGACAGGGAUUGGGAUCGAGAUCGAGACCGGGAACCGGACAGGGAUUGGGAUCCGGAGCGGCAUUGAGACCGAGACCGAGAGGGUCCUUUCCGCAGGUCGGACUCAUUCCUUGAACGGCGAGCCCCUAGGAAAGGGAAUACUCUCUAUGUAUAUGGAGAAGACUUGAUGCCUGCCCUUCUCUGUGGGGCCUUCUCUCCUUUUGGAAACAUCAUUGACCUCUCCAUGGACUCACCCAGAAACUGUGCCUUCGUCACCUAUGAAAAGAUGGAGUCAGCAGAUCAGGCGGUUGCUGAGCUCAACGGGACCCAGGUGGAGUCUGUACAGCUCAAAGUCAACAUAGCCGGGAAACAGCCCAUGCUGGAUGCCGCUACUGGCAAGUCUGUCUGGGGCUCCCUUGCUGUCCAGAACAGCCCUAAGGGUUGCCACCGGGACAAGAGGACCCAGAUUGUCUAGAGUGAUGACGUCUACAAGGAAAACCUUGUGGAUGGCUUCUAGGGAACAGAGCUGGAUUCCUUGUGUCUCAUAUGCCCCAAUGCUGGUCUCAGUAAAACACUGACGUGGAAGCUUAAAAACAAAAACAAAAACAAAAAAAAAGGUCGUUUAAAUGUGUUGUAUGGGCUUGGCGCGGUGGCUCACACCUGUAAUCCUAGCACUUUGGGAGGCCAAGGUGGGCCAAUAACUUGAGGCCAGGAGUCCUGAGGGCA